AUCGUUCAUCUCAUCAUUGAGACGCAAGUAAGCCGACUCGGAACGGAAU
rnacentral:ncRNA from 1 species